UUUAUGGAGAGUUUGAUCCUGGCUCAGGAUGAACGCUGGCGGCGUGCCUAAUACAUGCAAGUCGAGCGAACAGACAAGGAGCUUGCUCCUUUGACGUUAGCGGCGGACGGGUGAGUAACACGUGGGUAACCUACCUAUAAGACUGGGAUAACUUCGGGAAACCGGAGCUAAUACCGGAUAAUAUUUCGAACCGCAUGGUUCGAUAGUGAAAGAUGGUUUUGCUAUCACUUAUAGAUGGACCCGCGCCGUAUUAGCUAGUUGGUAAGGUAACGGCUUACCAAGGCGACGAUACGUAGCCGACCUGAGAGGGUGAUCGGCCACACUGGAACUGAGACACGGUCCAGACUCCUACGGGAGGCAGCAGUAGGGAAUCUUCCGCAAUGGGCGAAAGCCUGACGGAGCAACGCCGCGUGAGUGAUGAAGGUCUUCGGAUCGUAAAACUCUGUUAUUAGGGAAGAACAUACGUGUAAGUAACUAUGCACGUCUUGACGGUACCUAAUCAGAAAGCCACGGCUAACUACGUGCCAGCAGCCGCGGUAAUACGUAGGUGGCAAGCGUUAUCCGGAAUUAUUGGGCGUAAAGCGCGCGUAGGCGGUUUUUUAAGUCUGAUGUGAAAGCCCACGGCUCAACCGUGGAGGGUCAUUGGAAACUGGAAAACUUGAGUGCAGAAGAGGAAAGUGGAAUUCCAUGUGUAGCGGUGAAAUGCGCAGAGAUAUGGAGGAACACCAGUGGCGAAGGCGACUUUCUGGUCUGUAACUGACGCUGAUGUGCGAAAGCGUGGGGAUCAAACAGGAUUAGAUACCCUGGUAGUCCACGCCGUAAACGAUGAGUGCUAAGUGUUAGGGGGUUUCCGCCCCUUAGUGCUGCAGCUAACGCAUUAAGCACUCCGCCUGGGGAGUACGACCGCAAGGUUGAAACUCAAAGGAAUUGACGGGGACCCGCACAAGCGGUGGAGCAUGUGGUUUAAUUCGAAGCAACGCGAAGAACCUUACCAAAUCUUGACAUCCUUUGACAACUCUAGAGAUAGAGCCUUCCCCUUCGGGGGACAAAGUGACAGGUGGUGCAUGGUUGUCGUCAGCUCGUGUCGUGAGAUGUUGGGUUAAGUCCCGCAACGAGCGCAACCCUUAAGCUUAGUUGCCAUCAUUAAGUUGGGCACUCUAAGUUGACUGCCGGUGACAAACCGGAGGAAGGUGGGGAUGACGUCAAAUCAUCAUGCCCCUUAUGAUUUGGGCUACACGUGCUACAAUGGACAAUACAAAGGGCAGCGAAACCGCGAGGUCAAGCAAAUCCCAUAAAGUUGUUCUCAGUUCGGAUUGUAGUCUGCAACUCGACUACAUGAAGCUGGAAUCGCUAGUAAUCGUAGAUCAGCAUGCUACGGUGAAUACGUUCCCGGGUCUUGUACACACCGCCCGUCACACCACGAGAGUUUGUAACACCCGAAGCCGGUGGAGUAACCAUUUGGAGCUAGCCGUCGAAGGUGGGACAAAUGAUUGGGGUGAAGUCGUAACAAGGUAGCCGUAUCGGAAGGUGCGGCUGGAUCACCUCCUUUCU
rnacentral:rRNA from 1 species